CGGAAACAGCUAAUGACGACAUUGGUUGGAGAGGCCUGAACAACUGUUUACUGUUUCGGUAGAUCACACGAGCUUGUGAUGUUUUCUGUCUGAUAGAAAAAAGUGAACUAUCGGCAAGCUAGUAUGCUCCCAAAGAAGACAACUGAAACCCAGAAACCCUUCCUGCAUUGAAGAUUGAGGAGCAACCCUCCUGAGGAGAGCCUGACCCUGGUGACGGCCCCACCAACUGAAGUGAGUAGAAUGAGUUCUCAGUUGCCUUGGGUAUAUUUGGCCCAAGGCUCACAACAAGACUUCCACUGCCACAGGACUGUCUUCCUUUGAGGCUUCUUUAGGCUAUGAACCUCCACUGAUUCCAGUCCUGUUCCUACAAAACAUCACCUCAGGUGAUGUUGACAAAUUUGAAGACAGGCAAAGGCUCGCUCUGCACCAUGGACCAGAACCACGUGCCCAGUCAAGGCCACCGGACCAAGCGUUAUUAAAUCCCAGUGAUAUCCCUAGUCACAAGUCCUUGCUGUUUUUUGAACCUUGUGUAAAUAAUAAAUGUACUGAACUGCAUUUAGUAAGUUGUUUGGUUGUGUAUUCAAAAUCCAAAUCUUUUUACCUAAAUUCAGGUCGUAACACUCCCUGUAAACUAGCCGUACAUUGGCCCCUUACUAGCUUUCCAAGAUUGUAUAAAUAAGUGGCGAUGGUUUCCAUUAUGAGUCAGUUAACAUGCCCCCAUGCAGGUUGUGUCUGGAAAUUCUCUCUUGAUUGUUUGUUUCAACUCUCUUCAGGUUGUUUGUCAUUUAAGAAGAGUAAUUCAUUGAAGUACA